rnacentral:tRNA from 1 species
GCCUGGCUAGCUCAAUCGGUAGAGCGUUUGACUCUUAAUCAAAAGGUUGCGGGUUCGACCCCCGCGUCGGGCU